CCUACGGUGGCUGCAGUGGGGAAUAUUGGACAAUGGGCGAAAGCCUGAUCCAGCCAUGCCGCGUGUGUGAAGAAGGCCUUCGGGUUGUAAAGCACUUUCAGUGGGGAAGAAAGCCUUGGGGCUAAUACCCUCGAGGAAGGACAUCACCCACAGAAGAAGCACCGGCUAACUCCGUGCCAGCAGCCGCGGUAAUACGGAGGGUGCGAGCGUUAAUCGGAAUUACUGGGCGUAAAGCGCGCGUAGGCGGUCUGAUAAGCCGGUUGUGAAAGCCCCGGGCUCAACCUGGGAACGGCAUCCGGAACUGUCAUGCUAGAGUGCAGGAGAGGAAGGUAGAAUUCCCGGUGUAGCGGUGAAAUGCGUAGAGAUCGGGAGGAAUACCAGUGGCGAAGGCGGCCUUCUGGACUGACACUGACGCUGAGGUGCGAAAGCGUGGGUAGCAAACAGGAUUAGAUACCCCAGUAGUC
rnacentral:rRNA from 1 species